GACGAACGCUGGCGGCGUGCCUACUACAUGCAAGUCGAACGCAGUGGGGACGGGUGAGUAACACGUGGGUAACCUCCCAUCAGAGGGGAUAACACUUGGAAACAGGUGCUAAACCGAUACUGAUGGAUGGACCCGAGGUGCAUUCGCUAGUUGGGGAGGUAACGGCUCACCAAGUCCACGAUGCAUAGCCCACCUGAGAGGGUGUUCGCCCAAACUGGGACUGAGACACGGCCCAGACUCCUACGGGAGGCAGCAGUAGGGAAUCUUCGGCAAUGGACGAAAGUCUGACCGAGCAACGCCGCGUGAGUGAAGAAGUUUUUCGGAUCGUAAAACUCUGUGGUUAGAGAAGCGGUAUCUAACCAGAAAGCCACGACUAACUACGUGCCAGCAGCCGCGGUAAUAC
rnacentral:rRNA from 1 species